UGGGGAAUAUUGGGCAAUGGGCGAAAGCCUGACCCAGCAACGCCGCGUGAAGGAAGAAGGCCUUCGGGUUGUAAACUUCUUUUAUGAGGGACGAAGAAAGUGACGGUACCUCAUGAAUAAGCCACGGCUAACUACGUGCCAGCAGCCGCGGUAAUACGUAGGUGGCAAGCGUUAUCCGGAUUUACUGGGUGUAAAGGGCGCGUAGGCGGGAAAGCAAGUCAGAUGUGAAAUCCAUGGGCUCAACCCAUGAACUGCAUUUGAAACUGUUUUUCUUGAGUGUCGGAGAGGUAGAUGGAAUUCCUAGUGUAGCGGUGAAAUGCGUAGAUAUUAGGAGGAACACCAGUGGCGAAGGCGAUCUACUGGACGAUAACUGACGCUGAGGCGCGAAAGCGUGGGGAGCAAACAGG
rnacentral:rRNA from 1 species